rnacentral:rRNA from 1 species
UACGAAGGGGGCUAGCGUUGCUCGGAAUCACUGGGCGUAAAGCGCACGUAGGCGGAUCUUUAAGUCGGGGGUGAAAUCCUGGGGCUCAACCCCGGAACUGCCUUCGAUACUGGCAGUCUCGAGUGCGGGAGAGGUGAGUGGAAUUCCCAGUGUAGAGGUGAAAUUCGUAGAUAUUGGGAAGAACACCAGUGGCGAAGGCGGCUCACUGGCCCGUAACUGACGCUGAGGUGCGAAAGCGUGGGGAGCAAACAGG